AUUUGUGCCAUAUUUUAAACUCCACAUAUAAGUGAUAUCAUUGAUGUCUUUCUGACUUACUUCACUCAAUAUGAGAGUCUCUAGUUCAUCUAUAUUGCUGCAAAUGGCAUUAUUUUGUCAUUUUUAAUGGCUGGCUAGUGUUCCAUUGUAUAUGUGUACCACGUAUUCUUAAUCCAUUCAUCCAUCAAUGGGCAUUUAUGUUGUUACCAUGUCUUGGCUAUUGUGAAUAGUGCUGGGUUGAACGUACAGGUGCAUGUAUCUUUUUCAAAGAAUUUUUUUGUCUGGAUAUAUGCCAAGGGGUGGGAUAGCUGAGUCAUACGGUAGCUCUAUAUUUAGUUUUUCUGAGUUAUUGCCAUACUAUUUUCCAUAGUGAUUGUACCAAUUUAUAUUCCCACCAACAGUGUAGGAGGGUUCCCUUUUCUCCACAUCCUCUCCAGCAUAUGCUAUUUGUUGACUUGUUAAUGAUGGCCACUCCAACUGGUGUGAGGUGGCACCUCAUUGUUUUGAUUUGUAUUUCUCUAAUAAUUAGUCAUGUUGAGCAUUUUUUCAUGUGCCUGCUGGCUGCCUGUAUGUCUUCUUUGGUGAAAUUUCUAUUUAGGUAUUCUCCCCAUUUUUCAAUUGGGUUGUUGGGUUUUUUUUUGUUGUUGUUAUUGAGUUGUACGUGUUGUUUGUGUAUUUGGAGAUAAUACUUUGUCAUUUGAGUCAUUUGAAAAUUUUUCCCCCAUUCUGUGGGUUAUCUUUUCAUUUUUUAAAUGUUUUUCUUUGCUAUGCAGAAGCUUUUGAAUUUAAUUAGGUUUUUUUGGUUUAUUUGUCUUUAUUGUCUUUAUUCUACAAGGUGGAUCAAAAAAAGAUGUUUCUGUGAUUUAUAUCAAAGAGCAUUCUGCCUAUGUUUUCCUCUACGAAUUUUACAGUGUCUGGCCUUACAUUUAGGCCUUUAAUCCAUUUUGAGUUUAUUUUUGUAUGGCAUUAGACAAUGUCCUAACUUCAUCCUCUUACAUGCAGCUAUCCAGUUUUCCCAGCACCAUUUAUUGAACAGACUAUUUUUCCUCCACUGUAUAUUCUUGCCCCCUUUGUCAUAAAUUAAUUGACCAUAGGUGUUUGGGUUUAUUUUUGGACUUUCUAUCCUGUUCCAUUGAUCUAUGUUUCUGUUUUUGUGCCAGCACCAUACUGUUUUGAUGACUGUAGUUUAGCUUUGUAGUAAAGUCUGAAAUCUGAGAGCAUGAUUCCUCCAAUUCUAUUUUUUUUUCAAUACUUGAUGCUCUCCAUUGCAGUUGCCCUAUACUCUAGUCCUUCCAGGCUGUUUCCACACAACAAACCCCAUUUUUUCCCCCCACAGCUCCUUCCUUGGGUUUGAUUUCUAAGGCCAAAAUUUUAGUUCCCAACACCUGCUGGCACUCGCCUAUGGUUGCCCAUUGCCUUGACAUUUAUGGAGGAUUGUCUCCUUCUUAACAGCUUCAGACCAUUUGUCUAGAGUUCCUCCUCCAUUUUUGGGUGGUAUCAUCACUGGUCUUUUGACAGUUUUUUACAAAAUUUCUGUGUGAAUAGUUCCACAUAUAGUUGUAUUUUCAAUGUAUUUGUGGGAGCCUUACGUCCUGCUACUCUGCCAUCUUAGGCCUCCAUCCUCAAUGUUUUUUUUUAAAUGAGGGUGCACUAUAUAACCAUUUAAUGGUGUUUGAAGGGUGUAUUUAUUAACAUAGGAAAAUAUUUAUGGCAUUAACCAAAUAAAAAAUAUGUGGAUUAUAUCCUUUUUAAAAAAAAAAACAGACUUAUUACCAUAAACUAGAAUCUACUGCAAUCAAAAUCAUGUUAUCUUAUACUAAUUUUAAGUGACUUGUCAACUUUAAUUAAGUUUUCAUUUGUCCUUAGUAUUUCUACCUUUUCAUAAAAUACCAACUUUUGUAUGAUAACUUUUGAGGAUAAUUUUUGCCUAAAAAUAAGUGCUAUCUCUUUUAGAUAGAAGCUCAACAACUAAAUUAGGAAAAAUUUGUUGUAACUUGCUAAUGAAUUACUUAUUUCCACUGUGUCACCAGUAAUAUUGCUUCAUCUCUAUUAUUAUGAGAAUAAUUCUAUAGGGAAUACAUUUAUUAUGCCAUAAAUUUCAAUAUUAUUUCAGAAUGAAUAAUUUGAUUUUCAAACAAAGCUGAAAGCAAUAACAUUUUCUUUUGGAGGGAAUAAGGCACUGGGUAGAGGAAGAAACUCAACUUUUUUGAUUAAAGGUUAACAAAUUAUUUGCAGUCUCGAAAUAUGAUGUACACUGAAUGUCCUUAGAGGUUGUCAAGCAAAAUAACAACAAAAAAGUGACAGUGUGCUUCUUGCUGAUAUUGCCAGUGACUUGAUACCAUUUCAGCCAUCUAUGGUUUCUUAUCUCUUGGGGCAAUGUUAUGCUUCAGUUUAUACUGAAGAUCUCCAAAAGUUGAUUUUCUUCAUGCUUCUAAGAGACUGUCGGGAGUUACCCGACUGAAAAAAAAUCACAAAAAUACUGUUUGUUCUUCCAAGAGUUGUUUUGGAAAUUCUCUGCUGUAUUGGAAAAACUAACCCAAGGGACAAAACUCUGUCAAGACACUAAUAUCAUAUUGGUGAUAUACAGAGCCCAAAUCAUUGAAUCCCAGCCACAUCUGCAAGAGUGGCCAGUGUAAUGAUUGAUGUGUGUAUCACACAGUGAUUUGGUGGCAACAGUCUAGAAGAGAGAGUGAAAAUAAAUGCACUGGAUAGCUUGAUUAUUUGAUCUAUGGUUAUAGAUAAAACAAACACUAAAUAUUUUUAUCAAAUUACUCAGACCAUUAUCAAUUCAUAAUUGCAUUAUCAAUUUAAUAACUAUGGAUAAAUAAUUUGAAAGAGAGGCCACUCCUGGCCUCUUGGCCUUUUUAGUUCAUUUGAUUUGUUUAAGCAGAGAUAUUACUCAAAUAGCAAGGUUUAAAACUUAAAUGCUAGUAUUGUUAGAAAAAGUAAUGAUUAAUGAUUAUAGUAAAGGAAUUCUACUUUUCAUGUGUAGAACAUUUUCACGUUACUUUUGCAUUACUACUCCCCAUAUGAUCUUUAUAGUAACUCUAUGAUGUAGACAAGGUAUUAUUAUCCUUAUUUUACAGAUGAUUAAACUGAAGUCCAGUGAGAUAUUACAAAAUUCUCUGGGCAUAAAGAUUGGAAUACUAUUUAGACCAAUUAUAUGAAUUUUUGAAGGCUAUAUCCCAAUCUGCCCCUUCUUGACCUCUAAAAAGGCAAAAAUUCUGCUACAUCAGGUCACAUUAACUGAGAAAGAUAAAACACAAGAAAUACAAGCUAUACAAAUCAUCCCAAAAUAUAUGAUAUGUGUUUUAACCACCAAUUCAUGUUUAAUAAUCUCAUAGUAUUUGUUAGACUCAUUCUAUACAAUAGCAGUGCUCAAAGAUUACAUUAGGAGUUGUAUGAGCUUCUCCUAGGCAUCCUUUUCCAAUACAUAUAUGCCUCUGGUAUGGCAGAAUCUUUACUUUUUUUUCUUUUUAGAAAUGCAUCUGUGGCAUAUGAAAGUUCUGGGUUUAGGGAUCAAAUUGGAGCUGCAGCUGCCAGCCUGUGCCAUAGCCACAACAUCAAUGGAUCUCGCCCAUUAAAUUCAUAUUUCAUUGUACAUAAUUUUAUUAUACUGUGCAUGUAAUUUUUCUAACAUUUUCACUGUGAUAUAAUUUUAUAUCAUACAUAUUUCUUUUAAUUAUCAUAUAUAAUUUUUGCAAAAUAAUUUAUUUAAAAGAUGUACCUUAUUUAUUCAAUACUUACAUCAGUAUUAGCACUAUUAUUAUGUAUAUAUGCCACUUAUUUUCCCCUAUAUCACAUAUAAGUGACCCUGAUUUCAAGCUAUGUGAUUAUAAUCAAUUCUAAGGGCUUAUGAGGAAUAGACAACCUGAUCAAAAAUAGACUGAAAUAUGGAAAAAAUAUAAAAGUAUUUGGCUUAAAUUAUUUAAAAGGAGUAUGAAGUUUAUGUAAUGACACUCUAGUCCCCAAAUUCAAAAAUAUGACUAAAUCUAUAAAGAUUUAUUUAGGAAAUUGUUUUGUUCCAAAUUGUAGAAAAAAUAUGGACUUAUAGCUUGCUGAAUUGAAUAUUACUUCAUUCAGGUCCACCCAUCAUAGAAAAAGGAAAUAGACUUUAAGAAAGAGAAAGAAACUGAUAAGAAAGGGAACCGAGAAACACUGGUGUAAACUCAAGAAAUUUGUGAAUAGUGUGAGGGAAACUCAAAUAUAAAAUUAUGAGCAUGAUGUAAAAUCUACAUGAAAGAAAAUAGAAGCACUGACAUGUUGAUCUUGAAUUUGCACAGCACAUUAUUCAUUCUCAAGUGAAGCACCCUUAAAUUUAAAAUCUCAAGUGGGUUUUUAAUACUUUGAGAGUUGAUACAAUAAUAAUGGAAUCUGAGAGGACAAGUGGCUCCUCUAACACAUCUGAAAGUGACUGGCCUAUAACUUGACUACUAUUUGUCUCCUUUCUCUUACAUUCUUCCUCCUUUGCUCUUAUUUCCAUUCUUCCUCUCUUAGUUCUAUUAUCUUAUCCCCAAGUGCCACUCAGUAGCAUUACAUCAGUUUCUCCAAGCUGGAGGUACAGCAAAGAACAAGGUAAGACUUCUGUGUCUGCUCUCAUGGAUCUUAUAUUAUAGCAGAAGAGACAUCUAAAACAAAUAACCAAACACAAUAAUGACACAGAAUAAUAAAGAAAAGGAUAUAGGGUUCUGUUGACUGGCCUGCCCAGUGUGUGUGUGUGUGUGUGUGUGUGUGUGUGUGUGUGUUGGGAAGGUUGUUGGUUCUGCUGUUGUGGAUGAAAUAAUCUGGGAAAGCUACUCAGAGUAAGUAAAAUAAAUGUUCUAACACAUGAAUAACACAACAUACUCAGUUACAGGAAGAUUCUAGGCAAAAUUUUUCAGAUCAAAAUACCUCAAGGAAUUCCUGAUGUGGCGCAGUGGAUUAAGAAUCCAACUGCAGUGGCUCAUAUUGCUGUGGAGGCACAGGUUCAAUUCCCAGCACUGCACAGCGGGUUAAAGGAUCCAGUGUGGCCAGAGCAUGUAGCACAGGCUGCAGCUGUGGUUCAGAUUCAAUCCCAGGCCAGGGAACUUCCAUAUGCCAGGGGUGUGGCCAUUUAAAAAAAAACAAAAAA
rnacentral:lncRNA from 1 species